AUUGAACGCUAGCGGCAGGCCUAACACAUGCAAGUCGAACGAGUGGCGGACGGGUGAGUAAUGUCUGGGAAACUGCCUGAUGGCGGGGGAUAACUACUGGAAACGGUAGCUAAUACCGCAUACCAUCGGAUGUGCCCAUAUGGGAUUAGCUAGUAGGUGGGGUAAAGGCUCACCUAGGCGACGAUCCCUAGCUGGUCUGAGAGGAUGACCAGCCACACUGGAACUGAGACACGGCCCAGACUCCUACGGGAGGCAGCAGUGGGGAAUAUUGCACAAUGGGCGAAAGCCUGAUGCAGCCAUGCCGCGUGUAUGAAGAAGGCCUGCGGGUUGUAAAGUACUUUCGGCGGGGAGGCGGUACCUGCAGAAGAAGCACCGGCUAACUCCGUGCCAGCAGCCGCGGUAAUAC
rnacentral:rRNA from 1 species